AGAGUUUGAUCAUGGCUCAGGAUGAACGCUGGCGGCGUGCCUAAUACAUGCAAGUCGAGCGAACGGACGAGAAGCUUGCUUCUCGGAUGUUAGCGGCGGACGGGUGAGUAACACGUGGAUAACCUACCUAUAAGACUGGGAUAACUUCGGGAAACCGGAGCUAAUACCAGAUAAUAUUUUGAACCGCAUGGUUCAAAAGUGAAAGACGGUCUUGCUGUCACUUAUAGAUAGAUCCGCGCUGCAUUAGCUAGUUGGUAAGGUAACGGCUUACCAAGGCAACGAUGCAUAGCCGACCUGAGAGGGUGAUCGGCCACACUGGAACUGAGACACGGUCCAGACUCCUACGGGAGGCAGCAGUAGGGAAUCUUCCGCAAUGGGCGAAAGCCUGACGGAGCAACGCCGCGUGAGUGAUGAAAGUCUUCGGAUCGUAAAACUCUGUUAUUAGGGAAGAACAUAUGUGUAAGUAACUGUGCACAUCUUGACGGUACCUAAUCAGAAAGCCACGGCUAACUACGUGCCAGCAGCCGCGGUAAUACGUAGGUGGCAAGCGUUAUCCGGAAUUAUUGGGCGUAAAGCGCGCGUAGGCGGUUUUUUAAGUCUGAUGUGAAAGCCCACGGCUCAACCGUGGAGGGUCAUUGGAAACUGGAAAACUUGAGUGCAGAGGAGGAAAGUGGAAUUCCAUGUGUAGCGGUGAAAUGCGCAGAGAUAUGGAGGAACACCAGUGGCGAAGGCGACUUUCUGGUCUGUAACUGACGUUGAGGCUCGAAAGCGUGGGGAGCAAACAGGAUUAGAUACCCUGGUAGUCC
rnacentral:rRNA from 1 species